rnacentral:rRNA from 1 species
AGAUUGAACGCUAGCGGGAUGCUUUACACAUGCAAGUCGAACGGCAGCGCGGACUUCGGUCUGGCGGCGAGUGGCGAACGGGUGAGUAAUAUAUCGGAACGUGCCCAGUAGCGGGGGAUAACUACGCGAAAGCGUGGCUAAUACCGCAUACGCCCUACGGGGGAAAGGGGGGGAUUCUUCGGAACCUCUCACUAUUGGAGCGGCCGAUAUCAGAUUAGCUAGUUGGUGAGGUAAAGGCUCACCAAGGCGACGAUCUGUAGCUGGUUUGAGAGGACGACCAGCCACACUGGGACUGAGACACGGCCCAGACUCCACGGGAGCAGCAGUGGGGAAUAGUUGGACAAGUGGGGACGAAAGCCGUUAGAC